rnacentral:rRNA from 1 species
GUUCCCUGGAACGGGACGCCAUAGAGGGUGAGAGCCCCGUCUGGUCGGACACCGCGCCUCUGUAAAGCUCCUUCGACGAGUCGAGUAGUUUGGGAAUGCUGCUCUAAAUGGGAGGUAUAUGUCUUCUAAAGCUAAAUAUUGGCCAGAGACCGAUAGCGCACAAGUAGAGUGAUCGAAAGAUGAAAAGCACUUUGAAAAGAGAGUUAAAAAGUACGUGAAAUUGUUGAAAGGGAAGCGAUUAUGACCAGACUUGGGCCUGUUUGAUCAGCUUGGGUUCUCCCGGGUGCACUCUCUCAGGCCUAGGCCAGCAUCAGUUCGUAGCGGGGGAAAAAUGUCGCGGGAAUGUAGCUCCCCUCGGGGAGUGUUAUAGACUGCUUCGUAAUACCCUGCGUUGGACUGAGGUUCGCGCACUUGUGCAAGGAUGCUGGCGUAAUGGUCAUCAUCGACCCGUCUUGAAACACGGACCAAGGAGUCGUCUUCGUAUGCGAGUGUUCGGGUGUUAAACCCCUACGCGAAAUGAAAGUGAACGCAGGUGAGAGCUUCGGCGCAUCAUCGACCGAUCCUGAUGUUCUCGGAUGGAUUUGAGUAAGAGCAUACGGGGCCGGACCCGAAAGAAGGUGAACUAUGCCUGUGUAGGGUGAAGUCAGAGGAAACUCUGAUGGAGGCUCGCAGCGGUUCUGACGUGCAAAUCGAUCGUCAAACAUGGGCAUGGGGGCGAAAGACUAA